UGCAUGCAAGUCGAGCGAAGCUUUUCAGUAGUUUACUACAGAAAAUGACUGAGCGGCGAACGGGUGAGUAACGCGUGAGCAAUCUACCUUAGUUACAGGGAUAGCCCGAGGAAACUCGGAUUAAUACCUGAUAUUCUUUAAAUUUCGCAUGAAAUUAAAAGGAAAGGUCAGCCGAACUAAGAUGAGCUCGCGUUCUAUCAGCUAGUUGGUGAGGUAAAAGCUCACCAAGGCAACGACGGAUAGCUGGUCUGAGAGGACGAUCAGCCACACUGGGACUGAGACACGGCCCAGACUCCUACGGGAGGCUGCAGCAGGGAAUAUUGCGCAAUGAGCGAAAGCUUGACGCAGCGACACCGCGUGUGGGAUGACGGAUCUAGGUUUGUAAACCACUUUCAGGAGGGAAGAAAAUGACGGUACCUCCACAAGAAGCCCCGGCCAACUACGUGCCAGCAGCCGCGGUAAUACGUAGGGGGCGAGCGUUGUCCGGAUUUAUUGGGCGUAAAGAGCUCGUAGGCGGUUCAACAAGUCGGUCGUAAAAGUUCAGGGCUCAACCCUGAAAUGUCGAUCGAUACUGUUGUGACUAGGAUACGGUAGAGGUGAGUGGAAUUCCGAGUGUAGCGGUGAAAUGCGUAGAUAUUCGGAGGAACACCAAUUGCGAAGGCAGCUCACUGGGCCGCUAUCGACGCUGAGGAGCGAAAGCUAGGGGAGCAAACAGGAUUAGAUACCCUGGUAGUCCUAGCUGUAAACGAUGGAUACUAGACGUAGGAACUGGAUUGACGGUUUCUGUGUCGUAGCUAACGCGUUAAGUAUCCCGCCUGGGGAGUACGGUCGCAAGACUAAAACUCAAAGGAAUUGACGGGACCCCGCACAAGCGGCGGAGCAUGCGGCUUAAUUCGAUGAUACCCGUAGAACCUUACCUGGACUUGACAUAUAGGGUCAAGCUAUAGAGAUAUAGUGUGCAUUAGCGCCCUAUACAGGUGGUGCAUGGCUGUCGUCAGCUCG
rnacentral:rRNA from 1 species